CAUGGCGGACGGGUGGAGUAACGCGUAAGAACUUGCCCUUUAGACUGGGAUAACAGAGGGAAACUUCUGAUAAUACUGGAUAAGUUAGUAUAUCGCAUGAUAUACAAAUGAAAGCUACGGCACUAAAGGAGAGCUUUGCGUCCUAUUAGCUAGUUGGUAAGGUAAGAGCUUACCAAGGCGAUGAUAGGUAGCCGGCCUGAGAGGGUGGACGGCCACAAGGGGACUGAGAUACGGCCCUUACUCCUACGGGAGGCAGCAGAU
rnacentral:rRNA from 1 species